rnacentral:pre_miRNA from 9 species
UUUCGAUAACGUAAAAGUUAACUCAAAUUUGUAGAGUUGGAACGUUCGGCUACGUUUGCCGCUAGGGGCGCUGUUCCAACUGCAUACAAAUUUAAGUUAACUUUUACGCUAUCGA